CGGGGUGCACCAGGCGCGAAAACUUUACAAUGCUGGAAACAGCGAUAGGGGGACUUUGAGUGCCAGGAUACAAUCUUGGCUGUCGUCGUGCCUAAAAAGCACGGCAUAGCAAGGGCCGGGCAAGACCGGUGCCAGCCGCCGCGGUAACACCGGCGGCUCGAGUGGUAACCGCUAUUAUUGGGUCUAAAGGGUCUGUAGCCGGCUGAAAAAGUCUCUUGGGAAAUCCGGCAGCUUAACUGUCGGGCUUUCAGGAGAUACUCUUCGGCUCGAGACCGGGAGAGGUGAGAGGUACUUCAUGGGUAGGGGUGAAAUCUUGUAAUCCUUGAAGGACCACCAGUGGCGAAGGCGUCUCACCAGAACGGAUCUGACGGCAAGGGACGAAAGCUAGGGGCACGAACCGGAUUAGAUACCCGGGUAGUCCUAGCCGUAAACGAUACUCGCUAGGUGUCGGCCACGGUGCGACCGUGGUCGGUGCCGUAGGGAAGCCGUGAAGCGAGCCACCUGGGAAGUACGGCCGCAAGGCUGAAACUUAAAGGAAUUGGCGGGGGAGC
rnacentral:rRNA from 1 species